rnacentral:rRNA from 1 species
AUUGAACGCUGGCGGCAGGCCUAACACAUGCAAGUCGAACGAGAGGCGGACGGGUGAGUGAUGUCUGGGAAACUGCCUGCAGGAGGGGGAUAACUCCUGGAAACGGUAGCUAAUACCGCGUACCCUCAUAUGUCCCCAGAUGGGAUUAGCUCGUAGUUGGGGUAACGGCGCACCUAGGCGCCGAUCCCUAGCUGGUCUGAGAGGAGGACCAGCCACACUGGAACUGAGACACGGUCCAGACUCCUACGGGAGGCAGCAGUGGGGAAUUUUGGACAAUGGGCGAAACCCUGAUACAGCCAUGCCGCGUGUAUGAAGAAGGCCUUCGGGUUGUAAAGUACUUUCAGCGGGGAGGCGUUAUCCGCAGAAUAAGCACCGGCUAACUCCGUGCCAGCAGCCGCGGUAAUUC